UGUGAGAGUAGCCUAGUGUGUGUGAGAGUGUAUUGUUGUGUGCGUGAGAGUAUAUUUAAAAAGGAAGUUCUUACACAUCUGCUUCUCUGGGGACAAAGGCCCUUGUAACAUAAUUAUCAUAUAAGUUGCUCUGGAUAAAUACAUCUGUUAAAUGAAUAAAUAUAAAUGUUUAUGUUAGAAUGAAGCCUGCAAAUGUAGUCACAGCAUACAGCCCUUUAGAUGAGUGCAGGGGGAUCUGACUUCAAUAAUCUCAGAAGUUUAUUUUUUGAUUGAUUUUUUAUUUUAUUUGAUUGAACAUAAAAGUAUUUAGUUGUUUAUUAUGUGCACAUCAUUCAGUUAACCGCUGAGUCCUCUUUUGUGGACUCAACGGACUGUAAAAUGUGGACUGUAAAAUGGAGUCAGUUUAACAGACAACGUUUUGAUCUAAAAAAUCUCCAGUUGUACAGGAGAGGGACUAUAGCCAUGGGAGUUUGCAUAGAGAGGGUGUGACUUAAAUUGGUACCUACAAAUCACCACCAGACCAGAACGUUGCAAUCAUUGCAAACUCCCAUAUCCUCCAGAAGCAUACACCAUAUAGGGAAGGAACCUCAGAUCUGCACUCAUAAAAUUCUAUUUUACCAUUUGUGUAGUCUGUUCAUUUAUUUACAUCUCUGUCUCUUAAUCUGUGACCAACCAUGAAGCCCACAUUGGUAUUGCUCUUUGUGAUACUAAUAGGUGGUAAGUAUCUUUAUUUGUUUAUAUUCUUCCAGUUACUGUAUACUAUAACUAUAUUAGAUACAGUAUUUGUACCUUUAGCCUAUAUUCUUGCUUAAUGAAUUACAUUUUCAGUGUAGUAGCCUAAUGGCCUUUUAAGACAGGAGAUUUCAUCUGUGCAAAAGACUAAUCAGAAAUCAGACCCUAAAUAAUUAAAAUGUAAUCCUACCCAAACUUAGCAUGUUAUUGCUGUUCAGUUUUACAUCCAGACCAUUUUGUCUAUCCUGGCUAGUUUACAUAGAACCUGUGUCAGAACAUUCCAACUGUUCUUCCUGAAAUUACUGCUUUGCCGAUUCUACAAAUCUACACUCCGACAAUCAUUUAGGAUUUUAUUUUCUUAAAGAUGUUUGCCAAGGUGCUUAUGUGUGGAACGGUAGAGACUGGGAAUGGGUGGACGGUGGAGAAGAGAUUCGGCCUGAUGACCUCCUGACUCGAAUCAGACAGACUGCACUGGGCAAGGAUAUCAGUGACAAGGUCUUGGGAAAAGUGGAUACCAUCAGUCAAUAUAUUCAAGAUGUGGGAACCAAGGCAGAGUCCAUGUUCCAUGAGCUGAGUCGUAAAGUUGAACAGGACGCCGAGCGUUUCCGGUCCCAGGUGGAAAGCCAUUUGCUGAAGAGGAUGGAUGAGACUCUUCAGGUGAUCCAGACGAACCCGGCCGAUGCCGCCCAGAACAUCCCUGAGCAGCUCACGCAGGGCGCGGGGGCCAUACGCAACGAAACUGAGUCGUUCAUCGAGUCGCUCGGACUAAACAUGCAGACCCAGCUUGCAGCAUUUUGGGAGUCACUGACAAAAGGGAAUUAAUUGCACGUUCUAUUUCAAUCAUAUUAAAGUGCCAUUCUGCCCACAUACAUGACAUGCAAUAGGAAUGAAUUUAGAAUGCAUGUACCCAGAACUGCCUUAACUAUUGAUGUAAAUGAUCUGACCUACUAGCAUUUUUUUUCUUUUUUUUGCUUUCAUUAUGUAUUCCUGAGUAAAUUAAUGGGGUUAUGUUGAAAGUUGACUAUGGAGCAAUAAACCAGUUACCCUUA